rnacentral:rRNA from 1 species
GAAUCCCGUCCACCGAUUGACUAAGGUUUCCAGAGGAAGGCUCGUCCGCUCUGGGUUAGUCGGGUCCUAAGCUGAGGCCGACAGGCGUAGGCGAUGGAUAACAGGUUGAUAUUCCUGUACCACCUAGUAUCGUUUUAAUCGAUGGGGGGACGCAGUAGGAUAGGCGAAGCGUGCUGUUGGAGUGCACGUCCAAGCAGUAAGGCUGAGUGUUAGGCAAAUCCGGCACUCAUAAGGCUGAGCUGUGAUGGGGAGAGGAAAUUGUUUCCUCGAGUCGUUGAUUUCACACUGCCGAGAAAAGCCUCUAGAUAGAUAACAGGUGCCCGUACCGCAAACCGACACAGGUAGUCAAGAUGAGAAUUCUAAGGUGAGCGAGCGAACUCUCGUUAAGGAACUCGGCAAAAUGACCCCGUAACUUCGGGAGAAGGGGUGCUCUUUAGGGUUCACGCCCAGAAGAGCCGCAGUGAAUAGGCCCAAGCGACUGUUUAUCAAAAACACAGGUCUCUGCUAAACCGUAAGGUGAUGUAUAGGGGCUGACGCCUGCCCGGUGCUGGAAGGUUAAGAGGAGUGGUUAGCUUCUGCGAAGCUACGAAUCGAAGCCCCAGUAAACGGCGGCCGUAACUAUAACGGUCCUAAGGUAGCGAAAUUCCUUGUCGGGUAAGUUCCGACCCGCACGAAAGGCGUAACGAUUUGGGCACUGUCUCAACGAGAGACUCGGUGAAAUCAUAGUACCUGUGAAGAUGCAGGUUACCCGCGACAGGACGGAAAGACCCCGUGGAGCUUUACUGUAGCCUGAUAUUGAAAUUCGGCACAGCUUGUACAGGAUAGGUAGGAGCCUUUGAAACGUGAGCGCUAGCUUACGUGGAGGCGUUGGUGGGAUACUACCCUAGCUGUGUUGGCUUUCUAACCCGCACCACUUAUCGUGGUGGGAGACAGUGUCAGGCGGGCAGUUUGACUGGGGCGGUCGCCUCCUAAAAGGUAACGGAGGCGCUCAAAGGUUCCCUCAGAAUGGUUGGAAAUCAUUCAUAGAGUGUAAAGGCAUAAGGGAGCUUGACUGCGAGACCUACAAGUCGAGCAGGGUCGAAAGACGGACUUAGUGAUCCGGUGGUUCCGCAUGGAAGGGCCAUCGCUCAACGGAUAAAAGCUACCCCGGGGAUAACAGGCUUAUCUCCCCCAAGAGUUCACAUCGACGGGGAGGUUUGGCACCUCGAUGUCGGCUCAUCGCAUCCUGGGGCUGUAGUCGGUCCCAAGGGUUGGGCUGUUCGCCCAUUAAAGCGGUACGCGAGCUGGGUUCAGAACGUCGUGAGACAGUUCGGUCCCUAUCCGUCGUGGGCGUAGGAAAUUUGAGAGGAGCUGUCCUUAGUACGAGAGGACCGGGAUGGACAUACCUCUGGUGUACCAGUUGUCGUGCCAACGGCAUAGCUGGGUAGCUAUGUAUGGACGGGAUAAGUGCUGAAAGCAUCUAAGCAUGAAGCCCCCCUCAAGAUGAGAUUUCCCAACUUCGGUUAUAAGAUCCCUCGAAGAUGACGAGGUUAAUAGGUUCGAGGUGGAAGCGUGGUGACACGUG